rnacentral:misc_RNA from 1 species
GAUAGUACUCUCGAUGAG